GGGGGUUGUUGUUAAGCAUAGUACUGCAAUAUCAAUGGAAAAUAUAAUUUUAAAAUAAAAUACAACAACAAAAACAUCAAAUAUAGAUAAUCUCUAACACUAUGUUUUAGAUCAUGGUUUCAUAAUAUAUCGUAAGGUUUUCCUCCUUGUUUGUUUUGUUUAUUCUUGAAAAAGGAUGAUUUUGGAUUGUAAAAUGAUGAUUUCCUAACCAUCACUUCACCAUAGGUUUCAAUCCAUCAAAUCAGUGGUUCGAGAUGAUUUAAAAUUUUUAUAUUAACAUUUUAUCCUCAUACAAUUUCUAAAAUUUUAAUUAUUAUCGUAUUCUUUAAACUAUUUAGAUAUUUAAAACAUUAACAACGGUGGGUAUUUUAGUAAUCUCUAUAUUUAUUUUACUGAACCAUACCAUACCCAUCUUUCCAAACAUGUUAAAAAUAAAAACUAGACUAUACAAUAGUAUACAUUAAUAAAUUAAUAACCACGUUGCCCUCAAUCCCAUUGUAAAAACAUGAAAAUUUUCAAAUGCAUGUUAAAAGAAAAACAUACCAAUAUCACUCAAACCAGUUUCACUUUGGGAAUUGAGAAAUUCAGCAAAAAACCAAGAACAUUAUUCACUGACAAGCAUUAGACACUUAAUUCAACAACAAAUCACAGCCGAAUUACCAAAAAAAGAAAAAGCGAUUAAACAUAAUUUAAGCGAUAACUCACUGGA
rnacentral:misc_RNA from 1 species